UACGUAGGGGGCAAGCGUUGUCCGGAUUUAUUGGGCGUAAAGAGCGUGUAGGCGGCCAUUCAGGUCAGCUGUGAAAACUCGAGGCUCAACCUCGAGACGUCGGUUGAAACCGUUUGGCUAGAGUCCGGAAGAGGAGAGUGGAAUUCCCGGUGUAGCGGUGAAAUGCGCAGAUAUCGGGAAGAACACCCGUGGCGAAGGCGGCUCUCUGGGACGGUACUGACGCUGAGACGCGAAAGCGUGGGGAGCAAACGGG
rnacentral:rRNA from 1 species